GACGAACGCUGGCGGCGUGCUUAACACAUGCAAGUCGAACGAAGCUUGAUUACGGAUUCUUCGGAUGAAGUAUGAUAUGACUGAGUGGCGGACGGGUGAGUAACGCGUGAGUAACCUGCCCUUCAGAGGGGGAUAGCGUUUGGAAACGAACGGUAAUACCGCAUAAUGUAUUUUGACCGCAUGAUCGAAAUACCCAAGAUUUAUCGCUGAAGGAUGGACUCGCGUCUGAUUAGGUAGUAGGGGGGGUAACGGCCUACCAAGCCGACGACCAGUAGCCGGACUGCUAGGUUGCUCGGCCACAUUCGGACUGAGACACGGCCCAGACUCCUACGGGAGGCAGCAGUGGGGUAUAUUGCACAAUGGGCGCAAGCCUGAUGCAGCAACGCCGCGUGAAGGAAGACGGUUUUCGGAUUGUAAACUUCUGUUCUUAGUGAAGAAUAAUGACGGUAGCUAAGGAGUAAGCCACGGCUAACUACGUG
rnacentral:rRNA from 1 species